rnacentral:rRNA from 1 species
GUGGGGAAUUUUGGACAAUGGGCGCAAGCCUGAUCCAGCAAUGCCGCGUGCAGGAAGAAGGCCUUCGGGUUGUAAACUGCUUUUGUACGGAACGAAAAGGCUCUGGUUAAUACCUGGGGCUCAUGACGGUACCGUAAGAAUAAGCACCGGCUAACUACGUGCCAGCAGCCGCGGUAAUACGUAGGGUGCAAGCGUUAAUCGGAAUUACUGGGCGUAAAGCGUGCGCAGGCGGUUUUGUAAGACAGACGUGAAAUCCCCGGGCUCAACCUGGGAAUGGCGUUUGUGACUGCAAAGCUGGAGUGCGGCAGAGGGGGAGGGAAUUCCGCGUGUAGCAGUGAAAUGCGUAGAUAUGCGGAGGAACACCGAUGGCGAAGGCAGUCCCCUGGGCCUGUACUGACGCUCAUGCACGAAAGCGUGGGGAGCAAACAGGAUUAGAAACCCUAGUAGUCC